CCUACGGGCGGCAGCAGUGAGGAAUAUUGGUCAAUGGACGCAACUCUGAACCAGCCAAGUAGCGUGAAGGAUGACUGCCCUAUGGGUUGUAAACUUCUUUUAUGUGGGAAUAAAAUGUUCCACGUGUGGGAUUUUGUAUGUACCAUAUGAAUAAGGAUCGACUAACUCCGUGCCAGCAGCCGCGGUAAUACGGAGGGUCCGGGCGUUAUCCGGAUUUAUUGGGUUUAAAGGGAGCGUAGGUGGCUGCUUAAGUGAGUUGUGAAAGUGUGCGGCUCAACCGUAACACUGCAGUGCAAACUGGCAGUCUUGAGUACAGCAGAGGUGGGCGGAAUUCGUGGUGUAGCGGUGAAAUGCUUAGAUAUCACGAAGAACUCCGAUUGCGAAGGCAGUCUACCGGACUGUAACUGACACUGAGGCUCGAAAGUGCGGGUAUCAAACAGGAUUAGAUACCCGAGUAGUC
rnacentral:rRNA from 1 species